GAUGAACGCUGGCGGCGUGCCUAAUACAUGCAAGUCGAGCGAAUGGAUUAAGAGCUUGCUCUUAUGAAGUUAGCGGCGGACGGGUGAGUAACACGUGGGUAACCUGCCCAUAAGACUGGGAUAACUCCGGGAAACCGGGGCUAAUACCGGAUAACAUUUUGAACCGCAUGGUUCGAAAUUGAAAGGCGGCUUCGGCCGUCACUUAUGGAUGGAACUGCGUCGCAUUAGCUAGUUGGUGAGGUAACGGCUCACCAAGGCAACGAUGCGUAGCCGACCUGAGAGGGUGAUCGGCCACACUGGGACUGAGACACGGCCCAGACUCCUACGGGAGGCAGCAGUAGGGAAUCUUCCGCAAUGGACGAAAGUCUGACGGAGCAACGCCGCGUGAGUGAUGAAGGCUUUCGGGUCGUAAAACUCUGUUGUUAGGGAGAACAAGUGCUAGUUGAAUAAGCUGGCACCUUGACGGUACCUAACCAGAAAGCCACGGCUAACUACGUGCCAGCCGCCGCAGUAA
rnacentral:rRNA from 1 species